CAUUAAGAAGCUAUGAACCAGCAUUAGCCUUUUAAGCUAAAGAAAGAGGGACACCCCCCCCCUCCUUAAUGA
rnacentral:tRNA from 1 species